GUGUUCACUUCAGCUGCACAUGUACUAAAAUUGGAAUGACACAGAGAAGAUCAACAUGGCUCCAUGGUCAAAGCUAUGGUUUUUCCAGUGGUCAUGUAUGGAUGU
ensembl:snRNA U6 U6 spliceosomal RNA